GCCCACUGGAAACUGGAGAAGAUUUAUCCCUGAAGAAUGUCCUGGCUGCUUGUUCUUCCUCUGAACUCACGUUCUCAUAGUGACAAGGCAGAGGUAAAUUACAGCAAUCCCCACCCUGAAGAAGUUUAGAAGAGGCAGACCUGUUCCCAGAGGAACAAACGGGCUCUUUCUAAUGGCCCUCAAAUCUCUCUUCUUGCACUUGAGUUCAUCCUCCCGUGCUCCCUGCUCUGAAAAAGGCAGCUGGCAGUGAGCUCCAAGUCCUGCUUUUACCCACAUCUCCGAGGGGCUCAGAUGAUGGAAAACAGACAUGAAUGACUGUGGAACACACGGAGCUGAAUCUAGGCAAAAGAAAGUCAUCCUACAAGGACUCUGAGAGGUGGUGUGAUUAGAUGGGAUAUCAGGAAGCAAUUCUUCCCUGGGAGAGUGAGAAGCCCUGGCACAGGAUGCCCAGAGAAGCUGUGGCUGUCCCUGGAUCCCUGGAGGUGUCCAAGCCAGACUGGAUGGGGCUUGGAGCAACCUGGGCUGGUGGAAGGUGUCCCUGCCCAUGAUGAGGGAUGGGACUGGGUGAUUAUUAAGGUGCCUUCCAAGCCAAACAAUCUGGUAUUCCAUAAUUUUCUGAUCUGUUAUGGCCACAAGCUUAGUCACCCCUGUGAAAGAACCAGAGAGAGACAUGGAGGUACCCAACAUCUGGGCAGGAAUCGAUUGCCAAGUCAAAAGGAAUUAAUUUUGUAACUCCAAUGGUGAAAUUCAGGUUUGUGUCAUAGUUACCAGCAUGCUGUAGCUUGAUACGUUGUGUCUGUGUCCACACUCAAGUGUGAAGUAAUAAAAAACAUCACAAAUCAGAGUUAGUAAAUAAGUUGAAUUAUAUAUCCUCACAGAAGGAAUGGGGCCACUUCUGGCCUGUAGAAGAGUCUGAUCAAGCUCACUUUCUGCACUGGGAGAAAAAGAAAAUAUGGAUUUUUGAAAUAUUUUUCCCCAGCAGGCAAUAGUUCAGUGGUAAAUCCUUCAAACUAAUUUUGGGGAAUCAGAGACAGGAGUAAUGUACAUAUAAAAUCAGAAGUGACAAGAAUCCCUCACUGAGCUUUCUGGAAUGCUACCAGGAUGGAAUUGGUGACCAUUCCAGCCACAUAGGCAGACAUGAUAUGAGACUUAUGGAAUUAUACAAGAAAAGACUGCUCUGGUUAUAUAUUUUAACUCAAGUCAGGAUUAAAACUGUUCUGUGGGUUUUUAUUUAAAAAACAAGUAAUGAGAUGGCAAUCCCAGAGCUAUACAUUUAUAAUCAAUAGCAGCAAUAUGACACCUAAUGGCAUUACUGCACACUCAACAGCUGUUAAUAAAACCUUAUAAAUGUCUA